rnacentral:rRNA from 1 species
CACGGCUCAACCGUGGAGGGUCAUUGGAAACUGGGAGACUUGAGUGCAGAAGAGGAAAGUGGAAUUCCAUGUGUAGCGGUGAAAUGCGUAGAGAUAUGGAGGAACACCAGUGGCGAAGGCGACUUUCUGGUCUGUAACUGACACUGAGGCGCGAAAGCGUGGGGAGCAAACAGGAUUAGAUACCCUGGUAGUCCACGCCGU